rnacentral:lncRNA from 1 species
CCGCAAGAAAGGGAACCUGGCAGGAAAGCCGGAGGGGCACAGCCUGCUUGCUUCUCCCCGGGAUCUGCUGUAGGAGCAGGUUGCAAAAAUGGUCAGAACACAGUCUAUUCUCUGUGCGCUAAGGCUGAACUUUGAGGAAGGGUUUUACUACCCGGGAACAAAGUCAAGAAUGGAAGAAGAAAGAAAGGGUAUGGAGAACCAGACAAGAGGUCCGUAAAGCUUGUACUAUCUGACUUCAAUUAAUUAGAGUGAGGAGAAUGAGAAAAUAGACACAAUAUGCUUAUAAUAUUUAUGCAAUGUUGACUUU